AGAAUCAGAAGCAACUGGAAAUGGCUGCUUAACACACAAAAGAACAAAACCAAGAGCCUUCUACUAGUCACUCUCAAUGGCAGUAGUAAAUGAAGACACCCAAGGAAAUGUGAGCCAGCUCCAAGCUGAAGUGAAGAGGCUCAAAGAACAACUGGCGGAGCUUGCUUCAGGACAGACACCACCAGAAAGCUUCCUGACCAGAGACAAAAAGAAGACUAACUAUAUGGAGUAUUUCCAGGAAGCAAUGUUAUUCUUUAAGAAAUCUGAACAGGAAAAGAAGUCUCUGAUAGAAAAAGUUACCCAAUUAGAAGACCUCACCCUCAAAAAGGAAAAAUUUAUUCAAUCUAAUAAAAUGAUUGUGAAAUUCCGAGAGGAUCAAAUAAUACGCUUGGAAAAGCUCCACAAGGAAUCCCGGGGAGGUUUUCUGCCUGAGGAGCAGGAUCGUUUGCUCUCAGAAUUAAGGGAUGAGAUUCAAACUCUGCGAGAACAAAUAGAGCACCACCCCAGAGUUGCAAAGUAUGCUAUGGAAAAUCAUUCCCUCAGGGAGGAGAAUAGAAGACUGAGAUUAUUAGAGCCUGUGAAAAGAGCUCAAGAAAUGGAUGCCCAGACCAUUGCAAAACUAGAAAAAGCUUUCUCUGAAAUAAGUGGCAUGGAGAAAAGUGACAAAAAUGAGCAAGGAUUUUCACCUAAAGCUCAGAAAGAGCCAUGUUUGUUUGCAAACACUGAGAAGUUAAAAGCACAACUCCUGCAAAUUCAGACAGAGCUGAAUAAUUCAAAGCAAGAAUAUGAAGAAUUCAAAGAACUUACUAGGAAAAGGCAGCUAGAAUUGGAAUCAGAGCUUCAGUCUUUGCAAAAAGCGAACCUUAAUCUUGAAAACCUUUUGGAAGCAACAAAAGCCUGCAAGCGGCAAGAAGUUUCUCAGCUGAAUAAAAUUCAUGCUGAAACACUUAAGAUUAUAACUACACCAACCAAGGCCUACCAACUUCGUUCCCGACCAGUACCAAAAUUAAGCCCUGAAAUGGGAAGCUUUGGCUUUCUAUACACUCAGAAUUCUAGCAUAUUAGAUAAUGAUAUAUUAAAUGAGCCAGUUCCUCCUGAGAUGAAUGAACAAGCUUUUGAGGCCAUUUCUGAAGAGCUUAGAACAGUGCAGGAACAAAUGAGUGCUCUUCAAGCCAAAUUGGAUGAAGAAGAGCAUAAAAACCUAAAGCUUCAGCAGCAUGUUGACAAACUGGAACAUCAUUCUACCCAAAUGCAGGAGCUUUUCUCAUCAGAAAGAAUUGAUUGGACCAAACAGCAGGAAGAGCUUCUCUCACAGUUGAAUGUCCUUGAAAAGCAGCUUCAAGAGACUCAAACUAAAAAUGACUGUAAGUUAUUCUAUCAGGAGCUUUGUGACUUGAAGGAAUACUGUAACUCAAUAUCUUUUUACUUUUAUUAAUAAAUGCUGUUCCUGUGUU
rnacentral:sRNA from 1 species